rnacentral:rRNA from 1 species
AUGCAGUCGAGCGAACAGACGAGGAGCUUGCUCCUCUGACGUUAGCGGCGGACGGGUGAGUAACACGUGGGUAACCUACCUAUAAGACUGGGAUAACUUCGGGAAACCGGAGCUAAUACCGGAUAAUAUUUCGAACCGCAUGGUUCGAUAGUGAAAGAUGGCUUUGCUAUCACUUAUAGAUGGACCUGCGCCGUAUUAGCUAGUUGGUAAGGUAACGGCUUACCAAGGCAACGAUACGUAGCCGACCUGAGAGGGUGAUCGGCCACACUGGAACUGAGACACGGUCCAGACUCCUACGGGAGGCAGCAGUAGGGAAUCUUCCGCAAUGGGCGAAAGCCUGACGGAGCAACGCCGCGUGAGUGAUGAAGGUCUUCGGAUCGUAAAACUCUGUUAUUAGGGAAGAACAUACGUGUAAGUAACUGUGCACGUCUUGACGGUACCUAAUCAGAAAGCCACGGCUAACUACGUGCCAGCAGCCGCGGUAAUACGUAGGUGGCAAGCGUUAUCCGGAAUUAUUGGGCGUAAAGCGCGCGUAGGCGGUUUUUUAAGUCUGAUGUGAAAGCCCACGGCUCAACCGUGGAGGGUCAUUGGAAACUGGAAAACUUGAGUGCAGAAGAGGAAAGUGGAAUUCCAUGUGUAGCGGUGAAAUGCGCAGAGAUAUGGAGGAACACCAGUGGCGAAGGCGACUUUCUGGUCUGUAACUGACGCUGAUGUGCGAAAGCGUGGGGAUCAAACAGGAUUAGAUACCCUGGUAGUCCACGCCGUAAACGAUGAGUGCUAAGUGUUAGGGGGUUUCCGCCCCUUAGUGCUGCNGCUAACGCAUUAAGCACUCCGCCUGGAGAGUACGACCGCAAGGGUGAAACUCAAAGGAAUUGACGUUGACCCUCAC